UUCAUAAUUCUUUAUUAAAAUAAAUUCGGUCCUAAUUUUUCUUAUUACUAUUUUGAUAGGUGAAAGACCGAAGAAUAUCUAAUGUACAAGAUGAUAGAAUAUUGAAUCUUGCAUCUGGACCCCUACGUCAAAUAAUGGUUUAUUCAGAUAUAAGGUAUCAUGGCAGAUCUUCCAGCACCACUCCGUGAAUCCACCGUCCUUAGGGUUGUUGGAGAGUCUUUACUCCCGACGGCUAUCGAGUAUCCACAUAUAUCACGCAAAAAUUUAAGGAAAGAGUCUGCAUAUCUGGGACUACAUGGAGACAUGUAGAUGCUGCAACUAAGGAUUUCUAUUAUCAAGAAUUUGUGAAAAAAUAUACAUGGGAGGAGGGGCACGAGGUAGAAUUUGCAAAAACUUGGAAUAUUUAUUGUGCCAAGUUGUACAAAGACCUAUUAUACUAUGUGAGAAAGGAUGGUACACGGCCUGCUUAUGUAUCCGACGAGAUUUGGAGUGCAUGGGCGGCCACUUGGUCUGCAGAAAGAUGGCAGACAAAGGCUCUAAAAGCUCGAGCGAAUAGGAAUACAGAGUCAGGUGGCCCGAGUACCGGAUCUGCUUGGCAUACAUUAGGGUCUCGAUCUAUUGUUGAGCACGCUAUGGAUCUGGAGCGUUUUUUAGAAAGACAAUCCACUUGCUUGGAGAUCUUUCUCAAGACUCAUCAGAGAA